rnacentral:rRNA from 1 species
CAGUAGCCGCGGGAAAACGUAGGUGGCAAGCGUUGUCCGGAAUUAUUGGGCGUAAAGGACUCGCAGGCGGUUUCUUAAGUCUGAUGUGAAAGCCCCCGGCUCAACCGGGGAGGGUCAUUGGAAACUGGGAAACUUGAGUGCAGAAGAAGAGAGUGGAAUUCCACGUGUAGCGGUGAAAUGCGUAGAGAUGUGGAGGAACACCAGUGGCGAAGGCGACUCUCUGGUCUGUAACUGACGCUGAGGAGCGAAAGCGUGGGGAGCGAACAGGAUUAGAUACCCCCGUAGUCCCUGUCUCUUAUAC